AUCUUCCUGAUUGUUAUGAUGGUCCAAAAGGGCAUAGAGAGGGUCUGGAACUGGACCAUUGGUCUCCAGCAGCUAAGCACAAUCGUUUAGUCUAGUAGGAGAUUGUGUAUAUAUUCUUUUUGGGAGAGGAACCUUGUUGGUUGGGUCCAGACCUCAUCCCACCUGCUGGCCUCCAAAUUCAAAUGGUUAAGGAGGGCUAAGCAAUCUGUUACUUAUUCAGAUCCAACUGCGUGGCACUGCAAAAAAAAAAAAAGUAAUGUUCAACUUGAGAAAAGACAAAUGGUGGCUGCUUAUUUCCUACUGCCAUCUAUGUGGAAGAAAGUUGGUCUUGUUCCUUGCCAUCAUUUGUAACUUGAGAAAAGUGCACUGCAAAGUGUGUCUGAUUACAAAGUUUCAGCAGAUAAAUAAGGGCAUGCUUUCUAUCUGUUGGACAAGGCAGAGUAUUUUACAGCUUGGUCAAGAGGACGAAACCCCGACUGUGGUGGCCAUCACCUUAUUUAAAGCUUGAUCUUUCUUCAAAUUUGAACUUCCAGUGCAUGUGCCAUUAAAGUAGAACUGGACCAAUGAAACAAAAGGGAGAGGAGUUUAAUAUUUCCAUGAGGGCGCCCUACUUUGACGUUCAAGUGUUGAGGUGACCAUCCAGAAGAUUUCCACUUGCUGACUUUAAAUCCCAGUCUCCUUGGCACCCUUUCUUAUAUCUUCCCCUGAGAAAAAAACAUCAUGGAACAUGAGGAAACAUUUUAGAAUAUUCGUAAGUUGACAUUUGUUUGGAAGCUGAUUUGCUCAUGACCUGAUUGUAAAUGUUGGGAAUGAAGCUGAAAGUCAGGCAGAGACUUGGACUCUACUGUUGGGGGCUCUGUGGUUCACUGUGGGAGACAGAGUCAAUGUAUUUAUGCUACAUUGUGAUGAGCAAUUUGUGGCACAGAUGUAACAAGCACUGCCUGCUCGGUCAUCCCCCAGCCUCCUAACCCUCAGGCUUUAUCUCUUUCCCAAUAGCAAGUUGAUUUAGAAGAGAUGUGGC
ensembl:lncRNA